rnacentral:rRNA from 1 species
GAUGAACGCUGGCGGCGUGCCUAAUACAUGCAAGUCGAGCGAACAGACGAGGAGCUUGCUCCUUUGACGUUAGCGGCGGACGGGUGAGUAACACGUGGGUAACCUACCUAUAAGACUGGGAUAACUUCGGGAAACCGGAGCUAAUACCGGAUAAUAUUUCGAAUCGCAUGGUUCGAUCGUGAAAGAUGGCUUUGCUAUCACUUAUAGAUGGACCUGCGCCGUAUUAGCUAGUUGGUAAGGUAAAGGCUUACCCAGGCAACGAUACGUAGCGGACCUGAGAGGGUGGUCGGCCAGACUGUAACUGAGGCACAGUCGAGACUCCGAGGGGAGGCAGCAGUAGGGAAUCUUCCGCAAUGGACGAAAGCCUGACGGAGCGACGCCGCGUGAAUGAUGAAGGUCUUCGGAUCGUAGAACUCUGUUAGUAGGAAGAAACAAACGUGUAAGUAACGGUGCACGUCUUGACGGUACCUAAUCAGAAAGCCACGGCUAACUACGUG